rnacentral:snRNA from 1 species
AUCUCUUCAGUAGCAUAUAUACAAAAAUUGGAGUGAUACAGAGAAGAUUAGCAUGGCUACUAAGCAAGGAUGACAUGCAAAUUCAUGAAGUGUUCCAUGUUUUU